rfam:Populus trichocarpa scaffold_5_contig_60, whole genome shotgun sequence.
GAAAGCUAUUUCACUAUUCUGUGCACACAAUGCUUGAAACAUUAAUCAUGGUUUUUGAAAGUAUUGGAGCAUUGUACACAGAAUAGGUGAAAUAACUUUC